rnacentral:lncRNA from 1 species
UAAGAGAUACAGCUGGCAAAUAAUAUGCCACAAUAAAUAUAAUGGGAAAAGGUAUGUGUAUAUACAUAUAUGUAUAAAUUUAUAUAUUUAGACAUCCAAGAAGAACUCAUGUUUACCUCUAUAUGCGCACAAUCUCCGAGAUUAAAGGUGCACCCAUCAACUUUAGCUUGACUAUAGUGACAUUCCACAUUCCAAACAAUCUUGUCUUCAUCAUCAUCACUUCAACAGUAAGCACACAUAAUCACUGAAUGUAAAGAAACACAAGUACAACAGAGACAGCGAAAACCAGAUGAAGCAAAAAAGCGGAUAUAUGAUUUACAUACUCUGACGAGAUGAUCUUCCUCCCAGAUCUUUGGCUCUGCAAACUCUCAACAAACUCAUAAUCAGCAGUUACGUCAAUGAUAUACAAACAAAAAGAAGUCUUUUCCACUAUAAUUCAAGGAAAGAAAUAAAGUUAUUCACAUGCAAACAGUUACUACAGAACACGUAAGUAGUUAAACAUGAUAACAUUUCUUUCUUUUUUACUCAAAAAUAUGAUAGUUUUCCAUAAAUAAGAGUAGCUGAUAUGAUUCAUAGCAAUGAAUUAGUUGCUCAAAGUUUUCGAUAACAACUUGGUAUUGAUUAUAAUGAAACUUACAGUCCAGUUCUAAAGCCCUCUAUUAUCAGUUAACGUUUCUCAUUGUUGGCAAAUUCAUCAACUUGAUAUCAAGAAUGGCUUUUAUCCAUGGCAUGUGUGUAGAUCGAACAACGCUAUUUUUUUAUAAGUAAAGAUGCUUCUAUAGAUAGAAAGGAAUAAGUAAAAUGGUGGAUAAUAGGCGUCCU